CCUACGGGAGGCAGCAGUGGGGAAUAUUGCACAAUGGGGGAAACCCUGAUGCAGCGACGCCGCGUGAGUGAAGAAGUAUUUCGGUAUGUAAAGCUCUAUCAGCAGGGAAGAAAAUGACGGUACCUGAUUAAGAAGCCCCGGCUAACUACGUGCCAGCAGCCGCGGGAAUACGUAGGGGGCAAGCGUUAUCCGGAUUUACGGGGUGUAAAGGGAGCGUAGACGGCAGGACAAGUCUGGAGUGAAAUGCCGGGGCUUAACCCCGGAACUGCUUUGGAAACUGUGCAGCUAGAGUGCAGGAGAGGUAAGUGGAAUUCCUAGUGUAGCGGUGAAAUGCGUAGAUAUUAGGAGGAACACCAGUGGCGAAGGCGGCUUACUGGACUGUAACUGACGUUGAGGCUCGAAAGCGUGGGGAGCAAACAGGAUUAGAUACCCCUGUAGUC
rnacentral:rRNA from 1 species